CUUUUUCACGUUUUCCUCACUCCCUGCCUUCUCUCUCCGUUGAAGAUGUGACGUCCUCCGCUGUCAUCGCCGCGGCGGCUCGCGUUGCACGAGCUCCCUCCGUCGCCCUCAUCGCGUUUGCUCCGCGUACGACCUCUCUCCGCCGUGCUCUUGUCUUACGAGCUCCUUCCGCGCCGCUCUCGUCGCUGCUUCUUCUCUCCUCGCCGGAGGUUUGUCAUCAUCUCUUCUCAUCGCCGUUAGAUCAGAAGUAAACCUUCUGCAGAAAGUUUCGGCUAUUGUUCAUGGAAACUUGAAGCUCUCCGAGAGGUAAUUCUUGAUAAGGAACCAUGCUUUUUAACCCUCCUUUCUUAUUUGAUUCUACACUUAAAUGUCAAAGGAACAUAAAUUGAACAAGUUCUUUCAGGAGGAGCUUAAAAUAUUAAAGCUGGAUAGAGACAAAGUGAGUUUAUAUUAUAUAUAUUUCGUCAUUGUAACUGAAGCAUUCUUUUGCUCACCGUGAGAUAAAAAGAAUCAUUCUGUUUGUAGUUAUACUAUGGGGAGGUCAUAAUUUAAAAUUAGAUAGAGCUAUUAAUUGAGAUAAAAUAACUAUACAUGGCAUUUCACUGUGCUGUACAGUUGGAGAUUUCUUCUGUAUUUGAUACUUUUAUCAUUGUUUUAUUGCUGAUAAUGAUUUAACUCACUAUAAAGUUGUAAAAUAAUCUCUUAGAAGUUCAUCAUAAAUUGAUCUUCCUUACACUCUAAAGUCUUAUAUUGCAAUAGGACUACUGACAAGGAUCACACUGGUUUACUUGCAAUCUUCUCUAAUGCCAUGAGUGUUUAUUAGUUUUUUGUUAGCUAAACUCAUCAUAUUAUUGCAUGGAAGACAUCUAUGGAUUAUUCUUUCCCUGCUGGUCAGGUGAGUAAUGGCAUGGCAGGUUACAUUCAGGCUUUGAAAGUAAAAAAUUGUGCUGGAAUUAUGGGUUAUGAAACAAGGAUCUCAUCUUUUGAUAGGUUGUUGGUAUUGAAGGGCAUAAUCCUAGUGGGCAUUGCUUAGUUGCAUCUAAAUUGGUAGAUUCUAUACCACCUACCUCUGUUGCUGAAUGCUGAUGAUAAGGAUUUGAAUCCAGCAAAGAAGCUAGCUAUUGAUAAAAGUCAAUCAAUUGAUAUUACUUCUAAAAAGACAGAGUUGUCCAUGAUUAUUGCAGCAGGCCCUUUUACAACAACAGACAAUUUAUUUUUUGAGCCCCUUGUAGAAUUUAGUGGCGAGAUACCGAAUUCUUUGGGAGGCCUCAAGAACCUGAAUUAUUUGCGGUUGAAUAAUAACAGCCUUACAGGACGUGUCCUCAGUCUUUAAGCAACAUAGAAGGUUUAACACUUGUAGACCUCUCCUACAAUAAUCUGAGUGGUUCCUUGCCAAGAAUACUAACAAGAACAUUAAAUUUAGUGCUUCAAACAAAUCAAGAGCUUGAUCAUGAUGAAAAGCUAAGUUUCCGACAUUAGAUGGGUUCACCUGUGGCCAAUUCUCCACCUGUGUCUGUGUGUGCUUAAUUAAUAGAUAGGGUGAUAGUCGUCUACAGAGAUCAGAGGAUCAUUGGUGAAAACUGCAAAGUGAUAGAUGGCGAGGUCAUUUAAAAAGUGCAUGAUGCUUUGUUGUACCGACAAGAUUUUCUCGGGCCGCAAAAGGCAUUUACACUUUCCAUUUACCCACUUUAGUUCUGUUGAUGGUGUAGAGCUUCACCAACAUUGUACUCUGAACCUGAAAAUCUGAAGCAACACUCGCCCCAAAAAGGCAAAAAUGUGUUAUCCUACAGCAUUGACCGUUUUAUGCGCUGCCUAUGAUGCCACCUUAUGCAGCACUUUAUUCACCUGGAGGGGUUUAUACUCAUCCUGCCAUUCCUAUUAGUCUAUGUUCUCACUCUGGGCAUUUUUAUUGAGGAACAAAAAGGCAAAGUUUUCUUGUGAAAAAAGUAGUAAUGAAGAAGAAGCAGCAGCAGUAGAAAGAGUAAGUGAAGUGAAUUUUGCAGAUGAGAUAAGUGGAAUUAACACAGGACCUCCUUGACCAACUUCAUCUAUUAAUUAUUAGAGCAGCGAAAAUUGUUCAAAUAAGUUAGGAAAUUGAAUAGGAGUUGCUUGCAAUAUAGGUCUUUUAAUUUACUAGUAUGAGGAAAAUCAUUUAGAGCCCUUUAAAUACUCAUUAACAACUUUUAAUUUACUCAAUAGACUUUGUUGAUGUAUGUUUGUUGCUUCUUUAUAAUAAUUUUCUUUUAAUUUGAUAAUACGAUGAAUUUGUUUAUUUUUUGAAAUAUUAUAAAUAUUUGAAUACAAAUUAGAUAAAAAUUUGUAUUAAAUUUAUAUUUAUUUUGUAUGAAAAUAAGUUUAUUUUGUAAGUGGAAAAAUAUAAAAAAAUCUAUUUUAGCUUAUUGACGGAUUUAUAGACGGAUUUUCUGUCUGUAAUAAGAGUGUGAGAUGAUAUUUCAAGGUUUAAAUUACUGACAGAAUAUCUGUUGAAAAAUUCGUCUGUAAUUACAGACGAAAAAUCCGUCAGAAAAUCUAUCUGUAAUUACAGACGGAAAAUCCGUGGAAAAGUUCGUCGGCUUCGAGAAAUGGAUUGAGAAUUUAUAGAGGGAAAAUCCAUCGGUAACUGGUAAAAAUCCGUCGGUAUUUUUCCGACGAAAAAAAAUCUGUCGGUAAAUAAUUUCCGACGAAGCUUUUAUAGAGAGAUAAAAUCCGUCGGUAAUUUUGUCGGUAACAAAAAAUCUGUCUGUAAUAUAAACCAAAUCUAUCUAUAAAUCUAUCUGUAUUAAAGUCAUUUUCUAGUUGUGGUUGCGGCACGGGUGAACUCUCGUACCCUCAUUUCUCCUUUUGUUCCACUUGAUUUCAUUAGAUUUCAUGGUCUGACAUUGUAAAUCAUUGUAAAUCUUCUCUUCCACCCUCGCUUUUU